rnacentral:rRNA from 1 species
UACGUAGGGUGCAAGCGUUGUCCGGAAUUAUUGGGCGUAAAGAGCUCGUAGGCGGUUUGUCGCGUCGGCUGUGAAAACUCGGGGCUCAACCCCGAGCCUGCAGUCGAUACGGGCAAACUAGAGUGUGGUAGGGGAGACUGGAAUUCCUGGUGUAGCGGUGAAGUGCGCAGAUAUCAGGAGGAACACCGGCGGCGAAGGCGGGUCUCUGGGCCAUAACUGACGCUGAGGAGCGAAAGCGUGGGGAGCGAACAGG